rnacentral:rRNA from 1 species
AUGGCAAGUUACAAAAGGCUCCGGCUGGACUCCUGUGCUGCUAGAGCAAAAUUGAUUGCUGCAACUGAAAUAGAUGACAGUAAGGAAGUGGAGAUCUUACACAAAAAAGCUGGAACUGUUAAAUAUGGACAAGAAACUACUGAAAUUGGUGAAGAAACAGCCCUCAACAGGCAUGAUUUCAUGUGUCCUGCAUUUGGGGGCAUAUCUCCCUCGGGAUCAGGGCUGCAGCAGCUCAACAGCCAAUCUUCCCCGGGAUCGGCGCGGCUACAGAAUGCCAGCGCCACAGAAACUGCGUCGCCCGCAUCGCCUUCUGCCAGGCACGGUGCUGUCGACUCGGCGGCUGGCACGCGGCCUGGUGUGGCUGGCUCCGACACGGCACCUGGCCCGUACCAAUCAUCCACACCCACGCGGCCCAUUGCGGCUCGCUGGCCUGCUGGUGGGCCGUGCCACUACACCAGGCGCCCGCGGUCCAGUGCGGAUCCGACAGGCGGUCGAUCUGAUGCUGCUACGGACGCAGGCGUGCGAUCCGGCGCAGAUCUGCUCAAGCCCGCGCCAUCAUUACAGCAUGAUGGGCCGGUUGCCCCUUUGGGAUGCGGCGUGGGAUCUUCUGUGCCGCCCCUCUCCACUCCGUUUGCUUCAGAAGCCGCGGAAAAUCCUGCUGCACUGGGGGAAUCUGCCUCGGGAUUGCUGGGAUCGUCAGCUGUCGGAUCUUCUACGCCAGCUCCUCCUCCGCCAUGUACAUGCCUUCAGAAAGGGAUAGGUGGGUGCCACGCUGCGCCCAACUCACUAAACAAACAGUGUGCAGGGCCGGCCCUGGGCCAUGGCGAGGAGUGCGACGGCCUAGGGCCCAGCCUCAGCAGGGGCCCAUAUAUCUCUAGAAAAAUAGACUACUACACAAGAGAAACAGGUCUGGCCCAUUACCAAGGAAAAAAUUCACGCACGAACUGA